rnacentral:rRNA from 6 species
UCCUCCAAGGCUAAAUACUCCUGACUGACCGAUAGUGAACCAGUACCGUGAGGGAAAGGCGAAAAGAACCCCGGCGAGGGGAGUGAAAAAGAACCUGAAACCGUGUACGUACAAGCAGUGGGAGCACAGGUUUACCUGUGUGACUGCGUACCUUUUGUAUAAUGGGUCAGCGACUUAUAUUCUGUAGCAAGGUUAACCGAAUAGGGGAGCCGGAGGGAAACCGAGUCUUAAUUGGGCGUUAAGUUGCAGGGUAUAGACCCGAAACC